rnacentral:rRNA from 1 species
AACGAACGCUGGUGGCGUGUCGUAUACGAUGCAAGUCGAGCGGUCUGCAAGGAUAGCGGCGAACGGGUGAGUAACGCGUAAGCAAUCUGCCCGCAUAUUGGGAUAGCCGUGCCAACGCGCGGAUAAUACCGAAUAACGUGGCCCCGGACAUCCGGGUGACGAAAGAUUCAUCGAUGCGGGAUGAGCUUGCGUCCGAUUAGCUAGUUGGCGGGCAACGGCCACCAAGGCGACGAUCGGUAGCCGGCCUGAGAGGGUGAUCGGCCACAUUGGGACUGAGAUACGGCCCAGACUCCUACGGGAGGCAGCAGUAGGGAAUAUUGCACAAUGGGGGAAACCCUGAUGCAGCAACGCCAACCGUGUGGGAAGAAGCAUUUCGGUGUGUAAACCACUGUCGUGAGGGAAUAAUACGCGUCUUCGGGCGCGGGAGAAUGUACCUCGAAAGGAAGCACCGGCAAACUUCGUGCCAGCAGCCGC